rnacentral:misc_RNA from 1 species
GUUCCUCUCAUCCCACGAAAAAAAAAAAAACCAGGAUCUAUCUCUCUCCCCACCUUUCCCUUCAAAAAUAAACAAUGGCUUCCCAAAACCCUAAUCCAAAAAAAUCCCUGUAUCCAGAAGUGAUCCUAUCAAAUCCCGAUUCUCCUUCUCAUCUCCACUCAAACCCUAAUCUUCAAUCACCAUCUUCCAACCUCUACCCUACCAUCGACAUGCGCGACCUCGUCGAAAAUCUCUUCCCUGACCCCGAAGAAUACAAUCACCAUACCCCCUCUGCCCCACCAGAGGCCAUGGAGGAAGUAUUGAUCACAAUCCCCGGUGCCGUUCUCAAUCUAAUCGACAAGAACUAUAGUGUCGAGCUCGCUUGUGGAGAUCUCUC